UACGUAGGGUGCGAGCGUUAAUCGGAAUUACUGGGCGUAAAGCGUGCGCAGGCGGUUAUGUAAGACAGAUGUGAAAUGCCCGGGCUUAACCUGGGAACUGCAUUUGUGACUGCAUGGCUAGAGUUUGGCAGAGGGGGGGUAGAAUUCCACGUGUAGCAGUGAAAUGCGUAGAUAUGUGGAGGAACACCGAUGGCGAAGGCAGCCCCCUGGGUCAAGACUGACGCUCAUGCACGAAAGCGUGGG
rnacentral:rRNA from 1 species